rnacentral:rRNA from 1 species
UACAGAGGUCUCAAGCGUUGUUCGGAUUCAUUGGGCGUAAAGGGUGCGUAGGCGGCGCGGGUAAGUCCGGGUGUGAAAUCAUCGGAGCUUAACUCCGAAACUGCAUUCGAUACUGCCGUGCUUGAGGACUGGAGAGGAGAGUGGAAUUUACGGUGUAGCGGUGAAAUGCGUAGAUAUCGUAAGGAAGACCAGUGGCGAAGGCGG